rnacentral:rRNA from 1 species
AUAGGAAGGAACUCGGCAAACAUUGAACUUCGCCUGUUUACCAUUUCGAUCGCCUCUUGCAAUUAAGGUAUAAGAGGUCCUGCCUGCCCAGUGACAUUAAGUUUAACGGGGGCCGCGGUAAUUAUGACCGUGCAAAGGUAGCGUAAUCACUUGUCUUUUAAAUAAAGACCAGUAUGAAUGGCAAGACGAAAGUUCAACUGUCUCCCUAAAUUAAUCAGUGAAAUUGAUUUCUCCGUGCAGAAGCGGAGAUAAAAUUAUAAGACGAGAAGACCCUAUGGAGCUUUAAACAUAUAAUCAAUUGUAUUCCAUAAAAUCCGAAAGAUAAUAAAAUAUAAAAUAAAACAAUAUGAUAAAAUUUUAGGUUGGGGCGACCACGGAGAAAAACAAAACCUCCGAGAUGAAAAGAAUAUCUUAAUUUAAGAACCACAAUUCCAAAAAUAAAAUAUUUAACAUAAUUGAUCCAAUAUUUGAUCAACGAACCAAGUUACCCUAGGGAUAACAGCGCAUCCUCUCCAAGAGUCCCUAUCGACGAGUGGGUUUACGACCUCGAUGUUGGAUCAGGACCCCCCGAUGGUGCCAGCCGCUAUAAAGGUUCGUUUGUCAACGUUUAAAGUCCUACGUGAUCUGAUUCAGACCGGAGUAAUCCAGGUCAGUUUUAUCUAUAAAAAU